CAUCCCCAUCCCUCCCCUUCCUCCUCUUUCUCUCUCCUCCAAGUAAAACCCUAAUAUUUCAACCUCGGCCCAUUUAAAGUAAAAAACACAAGCAUCAAUUUCUUCGGCAAACAAACAGAGCCACUUCUUUCAUAUAUCCUUCAAUUUCAUCAUCCGUGGGCUGUUUAUUAAUUCUCUUCUUUUACGCAUUAAUUCCAUUUUGCUCUAAGACAAUUCAAAUCUCCCCUUCUCUUUGCACCAGAUCAUCAUCAAAAUCCAGAGCUAGCUUAUAAAGCCAUUAAUGGCUACUUUUUGAAAUCAAUCUCUCAAUUAUUUUUGGCUUUUGUUUUUGCUGAUUCUCUUAAAUAAUACUCCAC
rnacentral:lncRNA from 1 species